UGGGCUCAUGGGGGGCUUUGGGGAAGCCUGGGGCUCUGCUUUGCUUGGCCUCUGUCCCUUGACUCGUGCUGGAGGAGCUCUGGGUCUGCUGCACUUCAGUGCCUCUGACCUGGUGGAAAUAGAUGUGUUUGGGAGACUUGAACAGAAGUGGCAACAGAUGCACCGUGUAAUAAAAACGUGAAAGCCAAGGUUGUGCUUUCGGCAGGGGGAAGGACAACCCGCAGGCAUCGGAGACAAACCCAGGCAGAAUUAGGGAAAGGCGAUAAUGAAUAGCCCAGCAAUCACGCUCUCCUUCCCAAGAUCUGCCUUUUGAGAACUUUAUUUUUCUUUCCGAGUGUCUGUGCUGGCUCAGAAGUGACUCGGGACUUGAUCGAUACCUCUGGUGGCUGCUGCCGCGGCCACUGAUGGGGAGCUGGUGAGAAUUAUUCAGGUGAAAGCCCCGGAGAAACAUCAGUCAGGGACUGCCCUGCCCUCUGACUGUUCUGCUCCCCAGGGAGCCCUGGUGGGAUCUCUCUGCCUGGCAGCACCCAGCAGCUUCUCCUCCCGCCCGAGUGAUUUCUCCUGGGUCUGGAUGGGGUUGGAAGCGAUGUGAGCAUCCCCUCAUUCCCAAGCUGUGGUCUUGGUCCAAACCUCUCCAUCCUGCUCAAGGGCCACCAUGCUUCAUCUGCUUCCCAAGGGAAGACAGACCAACUCUUGCUGCACCCAGGGUGCUGGAUGGAGGAAUGGUGGGGCACGAAACGAGCAGGAGAAGCCUUCCCCGGGCACGGGCAGGGCUUUGGAGCACGUCAGCGCUGGCACCCGCGGUCAGAGGAGCUGAGCCUUGGAGGGGAGAGACACAGCCAGGGAACGACUGUGUGGAGCCCAGAAUAAAAAUACAGCAGAGACACUUGGAGAAAAGGAGCCGCCAGGACAAACAGCCGUGGGAAACCCCGGACACACACAGAAAUCCUGCAGGAGCGAGGCACCCGGCUGGGCUGAGGACAGGUCCUGGCACCCCUGCUCCAAGCUGGGAAGGUAUUUCUGGAGGUUUUCCCA